rnacentral:rRNA from 1 species
UACGGAGGGGGCAAGCGUUGUUCGGAGUUACUGGGCGUAAAGCGCGCGUAGGCGGUGCGGUAAGUCAGGGGUUAAAGGCUGCAGCUCAACUGCAGUAAGGCCUUUGAUACUAUCGCGCUAGAGUGCCGGAGAGGGUAGCGGAAUUCCCUGUGUAGCGGUGAAAUGCGUAGAUAUAGGGAGGAACACCGGUUGCGAAGGCGGCUACCUGGCCGGUAACUGACGCUGAGGUGCGAGAGCGUGGGGAGCAAACAGG